GUCGCGAAAAACUUUUCAGUGGACUGCUGAACAAACAUUAACAUUUAUAAAGUUGCGUUCAGAAAAUGAAGAGUUGUUUACAGGUGCAAAGAAUUCUGCAUCUGAAGGUUUCAGACACAUUUUAGGUGAAAUGGGUUUAGACUGCAUGGUGACUUGUGACCAGGCCAAAAGGAAAUGGGAGAACCUGAAAUUCAAAUACAAGGACAUUAAACAGAAAUCAAAGAUGACGGGGUCAGGGACAGAAGGAGGAGAGGAGACAGCAGGUACAUGGCUGUUCUAUGCAGCCAUGGAUGAGGCUAUAGGGGGCAGGCCUUCUGUUACUCCAGUCAAUUUGUUUGCAUCGGGUGGGCCAGAGGGACCCCACACAGAAAAAUGCAAGUUGUGACAUGCCUUCAGUGGCCAUUACUCAGUCCCCACCAGGAGAUAACCAGUCCUCAGCAGCAAGCAUCCAGUCCACAGAAGCUGAGUCUGGGUCAUCUGGAAUGCAAGAGAAAUCAAAGAGGAAAAGUCC